rnacentral:rRNA from 1 species
GAUGAACGCUAGCGGCAGGCCUAACACAUGCAAGUCGAGGGGCAGCACAGAAACAGCAAUGUUUUGGUGGCGACCGGCGGACGGGUGCGUAACGCGUAUGCAACCUACCUUUAACAGGGGGAUAACGGAGAGAAAUUUCCACUAAUACCCCAUAACAUCGAUCAAGGCAUCUUGAUUGGUUGAAAACUCCGGUGGUUAAAGAUGGGCAUGCGUUGUAUUAGGUAGUUGGUGAGGUAAUGGCUCACCAAGCCUGCGAUACAUAGGGGGACUGAGAGGUUAGACCACCACACUGGUACUGAGACACGGACCAGACUCCUACGGGAGGCAGCAGUGAGGAAUAUUGGUCAAUGGGGGCAACCCUGAACCAGCCAUGCCGCGUGCAGGAAGACUGCUCUAUGAGUUGUAAACUGCUUUUAAACAGGGAGAAAGCACAGUAUGUAUACUGUGUUGAAGGUACUGUAAGAGAAUGUACCCUAUGAAUAAGCAUCGGCUAACUCCGUGCCAGCAGCCGCGGUAA